UGGUGGAGUGAUUUGUCUGGUUAAUUCCGAUAACGAACGAGACCUUAACCUGCUAAAUAGACAGGCCGGCUUUGGCUGGUCGCUGUCUUCUUAGAGGGACUUUUGGCGUUUAGCCAAAGGAAGUUUGAGGCAAUAACA
rnacentral:rRNA from 1 species